GGCGAUCAGAUACCGCCCUAGUUCUGACCGUAAACGAUGCCAACUAGCGAUCUGCCGGUGGAUUAUUAGCCCUGGUAGGUAGCUUCCCGGAAACGAAAGUCUUCCGGUUCCGGGGGAAGUAUGGUUGCAAAGCUGAAAAUUAAAGGAAUUGACGGAAGGGCACCACCAGGAGUGGAGCCUGCGGCUUAAUUUGACUCAACACGGGGAAACUCACCCGGCCCGGACACCGUAAGGAUUGACAGAUUGAUAGCUCUUUCUUGAUUCGGUGGUGGGUGGUGCAUGGCCGUUCUUAGUUCGUGGAUCGAUUUGUCUGGUUUAUUCCGAUAACGAGCGAGACUCUAGCCUACUAAAUAGUAACGAGAUUGCCAUUGUCUUAGUUGCUUCUUAGAGGGAUUUUCGGUGUUUAGCCGCACGAGAUUGAGCAAUAACAGGUCUGUGAUGCCCUUAGAUGUCCGGGGCUGCACGCGCGCUACACUGGCGAAAUCAGCGUGCUGUAUCCAUUCUCGAAAGGGAUUGGUAAACCCAUGAAAAUUUGCCGUGCUUGGGAUCGGAAAUUGCAAUUAUUUUCCGUGAACGAGGAAUUCCAAGUAAGUGCGAGUCAUCAACUCGCUCUGAUUACGUCCCUGCCCUUUGUA
rnacentral:rRNA from 1 species